rnacentral:misc_RNA from 1 species
GGGGUGAUGAUUUCAUGUUCAAAGAGUGUAAUCAUCCAAACCAAACAUAUGGGAAUUUGAAACCCACACCAUCAUCCAGUUCAGGUAAUGUAGAUUCUUACCCGCAUAGAAUACGCCAAAGUCUUCAGAGACAACUUGCCAAGCAGCACAAUAGUAUCACCUGCCUUCGGAUGAUAGUAAAAGCAAUUUCGACAGCUAGACUCGACAGUUAAGUAGAUUACUGAGUACACCAUCUUAUCCCACCAAUCAAUCCCUUGAGAUAAGCCCCAAAACCGAAGAACUUAAGAAGACCUUCUAACCACCCAAACCAACCUGACAAGGCAAUUUACUUCCAUACGAACAGCUCAUCGAACAAUGUUCCCAAUUUUCUCUUCCUCCUUUUGCUGGAGAGCUCGGCCAUUUCGCUGUAUGGUCGCAAGUGCCUGCUCAAAUCCAAGGCCAGAAAUGCUCCAAUAAAUUUUUCAACAAGCAGCAAAGGUGGAGUUCAAUUCGGCACCAGGAUGGUACAAUCACCAUUAUCAAUCCCGAGGACCAUCUAUACUCUCAUACUGACAUCACAUGAAGUAACGACCUGUCCAUAUAGACUGUCCUGGAUAU